GACGGAUUCCAAGAUUCCGGAUGCGCAGUAUGGCUAUGAGAAAGGAUUAACCAUCACCCUCGCAGCGCUGUCAGGAGCGAAUCGCGUCUGC
rnacentral:ncRNA from 1 species